rnacentral:rRNA from 1 species
UACAGAGGUCUCAAGCGUUGUUCGGAUUCAUUGGGCGUAAAGGGCGCGUAGGCGGCGGGGUAAGUCGGGUGUGAAAUCUCAGGGCUCAACCCUGAAACUGCACUCGAUACUGCUCUGCUUGAGGACUGGAGAGGAGACUGGAAUUCACGGUGUAGCAGUGAAAUGCGUAGAUAUCGUGAGGAAGACCAGUGGCGAAGGCGGGUCUCUAGACAGUUCCUGACGCUGAGGCACGAAGGCCAGGGGAGCAAACGGG